rnacentral:tmRNA from 1 species
GGGGGUGACAAGGUUUCGACGGGAUUAGUUGAAGCGUCAGUGGCAUGCCGAGGUUCCGAGGCCCUCGUUAAACCCGGACUAUAACAACUGCAGACGAAUACAAUAUGCCUGCAAUGGCAAUGGCUGCCUAGUGUAGCUUUGUCAGCAUAACCGGGGACCAUAAACUCCCUGGCGUUCAAAGUGUACCUGCCUAUGGGGCGCGGCGAACGUCAAUUUUCAUAGGCUAGCGGCUUUUCAUGUGUGGGGUUGAGUCGCGAAACUCUCACUACACUGGCUCGUUCACCACCCUGUCGUUGGGGGGAUGGGCGGGUAAGACCAAAACAAUGACUAAGCAUGUAGAAGCUGGCAGCGGAAUAAUUUCGGACCGGGGUUCGAUUCCCCGCACCUCCACCA